rnacentral:rRNA from 1 species
UACGUAGGGGGCAAGCGUUGUCCGGAAUCAUUGGGCGUAAAGCGCGUGUAGGCGGCCCGGUAAGUCCGCUGUGAAAGUCGGGGGCUCAACCCUCGAAUGCCGGUGGAUACUGUCGGGCUAGAGUGCGGAAGAGGCGAGUGGAAUUCCUGGUGUAGCGGUGAAAUGCGUAGAUAUCAGGAGGAACACCGGUGGUGUAAACGGCUCUCUGGACCGUAACUGACGCUGAGGCACGAAAGCGUGGGUAGCAAACAGG